UACGUAGGUGGCAAGCGUUGUCCGGAUUUACUGGGCGUAAAGAGCGCGCAGGCGGUCGAAUAAGUCGAAUGUGAAAGCCCCCGGCUUAACUGGGGAGGGUCAUUCGAUACUGCUCGACUUGAAGGCAGGAGAGGGAAGUGGAAUUCCCGGUGUAGUGGUGAAAUUCGUAGAUAUUCGGAAGAACACCAGUGGCGAAGGCGGCUCACUGGCCCGGUACUGACGCUGAGAUACGAAAGCGU
rnacentral:rRNA from 1 species